UCACAAGCUUCGCUCUUUCUAGAAGGCUGAAUCGGAGCAACUCACCUGAUCAAAUUGCAAAAUUCAAGAAAAUUGUCAUCCCAAAUUUAUACAGUGGUUAUGAUUCUAGCAUCAUUACGGUCCGUAACAAAACAAGCCCCAAGUUCGUCUGGAAAUAAAGAUGCGAAUUGCCCCC